AUCACCUGAAGGCGUUCGAUAGAAAAACCUUUUCAACGUGAUAAUGAAUGCCAAAGCUCUACUAGUUGCUCUCGUGGCUUGCGCCAUUCUUGUCGCCGGCACCAACGCAUGCGGCGGGGAAGGCCGCUCCUGAGUCCGGCCGGUGUGGCGGCAGCGAGGGGCGCAGCGAACACGGGCAAGCCGAGGCACGCCAGGAGAGCGAGGCUGCCCGCUGCGGUGGAAGCGGCCGCUGCGAUGGCUAGGCGUGCCGCCAAGAAACUUCUCUGGUCUGGCUGUCGCAGUCUGUCUGCUGUCAAUGUUGCCCUUCUUCUAAGAGCAUUGAGACACUCUAUUGAUGAAUAAAUUCAAUAAAGCUGCAUUCAUUUGCAUUUGUUGA